ensembl:lncRNA
UAAUAAUCCUGUUGGCUUUUUAUUUACACUGUUAUUUUCUCAGUUUGGAUAAUUUAAUAGGUCAGGUACAAAUAAAUUGUUGUACAUAGUUUGAGAAAAUAAUGCAAAUACAGCUGGAAGAUUUCCAAACUUCAAUCCUUUUGUUUAUGCAGAACAUAGUUUGUAACAAAAACAUAAAGUGGAAAUAUGUACAGUGACUUUUAUCAUUUUUCUUUUCAACGGGAUUUUCCAGGACACCUAACAGCCUGUCCAUUCUCUCGGCUCUUCCUUCCUCCGUUUCUCUUUGCUUUCUCAUGUCCUCUUAUUAAUUCAACAAAUUCAUCCUCCCUGUCCUUCUUUCUUUUGUCCGCUCUUGGCUCCGGCUGGCCCACAUCCUCCUGCUCUUCCUGGUCUGGCACUUGGUUGCCCACUACUGAACUGGGCCCUGUAGUGUCCUCCUGGAUACUUGCAAUCCUAAAGGUAGAGGAAAUCAAAAGUGGCAGUUGACAGGUUAACAUAAAUAACUUCAAAUUGUUUCUAUUUGGGCUGCAAAAGGGUGAUUUUCCCCGCCAGGCUCAUCUUCUCAAGCAAAAUGUACUAAAUUAGGACAACAAGACAGAGAAACCUCUCUCUCUUAUGCCUAACUGACUAAAAACCUCAUACUGUUGCUGGACCUCCACCCACAGCGGUGAACAGGUGUUCGUUGUCUCUGCAGAGUUGGAUGAACUCAGCCGUCUGCUCCUUACUCUCUAAAAUAUGACAGUAUUUGAGUAGAUUCUCGAUCAUCUAACACUUCUGUUUAAUCAGUUUUCUGUUUGACGUUUGUACAGCAUAUUCAGCUGUGUGAAGACUGCAAACUUUAAUGUCAGGCAAGCCGAUUUAUUGUGGAACAAAUAAAGCUCUGACAAAAGCCAAACAAUAAGGUUUUAAGGUUAUUUAAGUGAGUUAUAUAUCAUGUUCAACGUGAGUAGUGAGAGCACUUUUGCAAAUAUGUGAUGUCUUGAUAAAUCAAGCAGAUAUUUGAUGUGUACACAGCAACAUUCUCGCCUAAAAAUAUUUUGUGACCCAGAAAGAGUAAUAUUAAAACUAAUCCUUCUGUUUAAAAAAACAGUGGGACUUUGCAUUUACGGUCACGUAAGUUUAACAAGUGUCACAAGAUUCACCUUAACAUUCAAGAUUCAACUUCCAUCAACUUUUACAUCUUAACAUUUGUGUCGCUACUUCCAACAUAUCUUACAUGUAAAGAUGGAGGUGUCCUCCGCCGCCCUUUCUACCUUCUCCGCAGCUGAUGCUAUCGUUACAAACUGAAUUGGCCGGGUCACGCUAUGAAUCCUGGGAUAUGUUGGGCCACGAAGGCUACACCGACCCAGCCUUCACAUUUGGGCAAAUGAAGGCCGCAUUUGUCGGCUGCAUUUUAAUCCUUCAUCCCACACUGCACUGAGUUUGCACAUCUUGCAGGCUCAUCACAUCUUACCAGCAUCGUGUCACUGACCACCUCCUCCAGGGUGGCGAGCUUCAUGCUGACAACAGACUUAGCCUUCCUGAUGAAGUUAUUCCCUCUGUUUGCAUCCUUGUUUUGAAGCCUGUACGCUGGCAAAAACAGACUAUUAAAACUUAUGGAACAGCAAUAGGAAAUAUGGAUUUGGGAUGGGAAGUGAUAAGAAUUGAGCUAUUCCCUUAUUGAUUUGAUUCCUUAUCGAUUCUUUUAUCAAUGGUCGGUGGGUUCUGAUUGGCUAUGUUUUGAGAGUCACCACCAUUGCUAAGCAGCAAUAAAGAAAACGGGUUUGAUUUUUAUUUAGGAAUAAUAAUCUUUAGUUUUUUACUGAUAGAAUAAUUAGAAACCUGCAGACAUCAGUAUAAAGGAAUGUGUGGGGCCAGCUGUAGACAUGAUAACUGGCGCCUGAUAUCUGUCACAGCCACCUCAUAGUUCAGUGCCUGCGAAAAAAAGGGGGGCUUGUUUAGCGGCUGAUGUUUAUGAACCCAAAUUCUGCACAUGACUAAAUGAUGUAAGUGUAGAAGAAGUGGAGGGCCGAGUUUGCAAAGGUAGUGAAAAGAGAAAAACAAAUAUAGCUGAUUUUAUAGAGCCAUAUUGGCUGUUUGACUGUAGUAUUGAAUGAUUAAAUAUCUUUAAUCCCGGGCAAAGACAGCUGAUGCCCUUAAGUCAGGGGUGUCAAACUCCAGGCCUGAAGGGCCGGUGUCCUGCAUGUUUUAGAUCUCACCCUUGGUCAACAUACCUGAAUCAGAUGAUUAGUUCAUUAGCAGGCCUAUGGAGAACUUCAGGACAUGUUGAGGAGGUCAUUUAGCCAUUUAGAUUCAGGCCCAGGGGAGUGGUGGUCCUGUCUGGCCCAGAUGGUGAGCUUUGGCCCUGCACCUUUUUUCCCAGCCUUUAACUCUCACUGAGCAGAAUGAUGAUCUCGAGGACCAUGAGCUGCUAGCAGUGAAGUUGGCCCUACAGGGGCAGUGACACUGGCUGGACAACCUUUUACAGUAUGGACUGAUUACAAGAACUUGUCUUACUCUAGCAAGGUGGGUGUUCUCUUUUGACUUCACUAGAACGCACACAUUGUGAAACCAGAUGCUUUUCCUUGUCAGUCUUCUCCAGGGGAAGAUCUAGAGCCAGUGAACACCCUGCAUGCCACCUGCAUAGUGGGAAUGUUGACCAGAGAGAUUGAUCAUGAAAUCUAACAAGGGUUGCAGUCUGACCCAGAUCCUGACAAUGCCCAAUCCAGCCCCUGGCUUUCCUUCACUGGGCCCACACUGCUAGGUUCACCUGGAUAAGCAGAACAAGUCAAUUCCUUCAGCGAUAUCUCUGGUGGCCAUGUUUAAUGAAGAAUGUUAUGGAGUACAUAGGUGCCUGCAUGGUGUGCUCCAGAAGUAAGAGUAGCUCCUGGUCCCUAUCAGGUUUACCGCAGCCUCUUUCCAUGCCUCGUAUGCUCUGGUUUCACGUCGCAUUGGUUAGAUUUCUUAAUGCAGCUCAUUUAGAAAAUCUUCGUCGGGGGGUGCUUGAAGCCAAAGCUUCCCUUAGUUCUUGGUUCCAUUGUUACACCCCUGUGCAGCCCCUAAUCUCCUCAGUGUGUUCAGCUGUUGCUAAUUGGCCACACCUACUCAGGUGUGGAUUAAAGCAUACCUGAGGCAGGCUUUCGAGAAGCUCACUAGUCUUUGCUUUGGUGGCACCAGACAUUUUAGCCAACCUGCUAUGCCAUUUUAAGAUAAAACCUCUUCUUACUAACACUCAGGUAUUUUUUUUUAUGUUGUCGUAACAUAAGACAUCCCCAGACAAACGAUAAAUCGAGGAAUUGAAUCAAGAACUAGAGGCCUCCCUUUGUUGUGUAAUCCACUUGUAUGUUAGCAAAUGGGUAUAAUUGCUAGCCUGGGUAGAAUACACUCGCAACUUCUUCCGUUACCUUUUUGAGGUUUUUCUAGGCUGGGCUCAACCCGCCUUGUAGGAGGAACUAGCUGUGCCUUCGGUGCACCAACAGCUGUACAGAUGUUGUCAGGUAGGGAGACAGGUCUACGCUCCUCACUGUGGCGCAGAACCACACACUGGCCAAUCGUCAUCAGACUCUGACCCCUCACUAUCGUCAGGGCCAAAAGGUUUAGUUAUCUGUGGACAUUCCUCUAAUGUCUGUUUCCAGGAAACUGGCUCCACACUUCAUCAGCCCCUACAAAAUCAACACAGUUAUCAGUCCUUCUGCUGUUUGCCUAAAACUGCUGCCUAGAAUCCACCUCACAGAUCCCACCCUCCCCGUCCUCACUGUAGGAUGACCUCAUGUCACCACUGAGCGCAGCACAGAUACAACAGGUCCCUAUCAGUCAUGAGCACGCCCACACAUUGCCCCACCGGUUUUUCAAACCCAGGUCAAUCCGUCCCUAGAAUUAAAGGGUGUGCCCGGUGGGAGCGAAUCACAACCUUAACUCUUUGUUUUGCCUUAUUUUUAAUUUUAGCUGAUACCAUUAAAAUAUCUGAAUGUCACUGUGUACAUACUUAAUCUCCACCCUUGAUCAAUGCCCCUGCACUGGAAAAAAUGGCCCUUCAAAAACAAGAAAAAAAAACUUCAUACAAGAGCUUGAAAUAAGUGAAAAAAAGCGCAGCAACUUCAUUGGUAAAGCCCCAUAAACAGAGGACUGCAUUAAAGAAGCCGUUUUGCAGUGACUUUUUGUUCGGCCCUUAAUACACCAGUAAAAUCUGUGCAUUGCACAGGCACAAUUCAAAGCACAGACAAACACACUGCUAGGCAGACUAACUGCUCAACCUGUAACAUUUGUUAUUAAUACAAAGUGUUUUUAUCAUUUAAAUUAACAUGGACAUUUGACAUCAUUCUUCAAACGAUACCAUUGUAAAAUGAUCAUUAAGGAUGCACGCAGCCUGUCUGCUGAAUAGACUGUAGCCUAAACUCAACAUUAAAAAAACCCUUUAAAAUCAACUAAAAGCUAGGCAGUCUCUGCACUGCACAAACCAAACAUAAAACAUCGGCAUGUUCGCCGAUAUUAUCGUGCACCCUUAAUUAUAAAACUGGGCUAACCUGGCCAAUUUCCAAACAAAAAUCAAUCACAACCAACAUGGACUGUAGUAGCCUUGGAAGGAGAGAAGAAGUGUUUUCCUAUAGUCCACAUCUUAACCACACUGGCUCUACUGGCCAAUAAAAGCAUUCCAGUCAGCCAUGCUCUUCUUGUAAGAUGAUGUGAGAUCUCGCUCAUGGAUUUUGUCCAAGAGAACCUCUGUCUGUAUGACGGACAGCGGAGAGGCUACACACUUUGGGUAUGUAAGGUGUAGGGUAUAAUAGUAGGCCAUAAGGUAUAAAGAACCCUCCGUAACCUCGUCUUUUGGAAACGUGGUUAUUGGCACAUCUCCUACCGCUAGGAUGCAGUUGGACGGACUCCCGAUCAGCACUGGGCAGGAGAGAGGACGUUUCAUCAAAUAGGUAUUAGGGUCUUCUUGGUCCUUUAACACAUAACACAGACAUACUUUUGUAAGGACGAUGCACUUUUGUUUCAACACAAAGCUAAAGCUAAAUUACAACAAAAGUUGAAGUUGUGAGAAACUACAUCUGAAUUUGCUAUUUUUAAUUAUUCUCAAUGCAAUUAUUGUUCACAUAUGUCUAGCCUUCCUGAAAAACAGAAAACCAAGGCUACAUUUAAUUGGUUAUCAUUGAGGUGAUAAAAUCUGCUACAACAUAAUACAUGUUUGUAUUUACUGGCCACAGAGAUCUAACCUGUGAGAAUCCGCAUUCCCAAAAUAUGUUUUAGGUACCUUUGAAGGAUUAGAACAUACAGCAUGUGAAUAUGAAACACUUUGGCACUCAUCAGAAGCAGCACAAAGUCACAAAAAUAAAUAAAUAAAAACAAACAAAAAACCCAAAAACAAAAAGCUACGUUUUGCACAGCUCACCUCAAAGACAUGCACCAGAGCCUCACUCGCAUCUCGCAUUAGGCCUAUUGCAAACCUUUUUUUUUUUUUCAUUUCAAAUAAUAAACUUUAACGUAUCCUGGCUGAUAUUGACCCUCUUGUCCCGUUUAUUCUGGGCUCCUGAAAAGUUUGCACAAGUAGUAUAGAGGCCCUUAGCGGUUACUCAGUGGCUUUUGUUCACUACAAUUAUAAAGCAAUUACAGCUAUCAUAACUAUUCACUGUAAUUAUUAUUCACUAUUCAGGGGUGGCUGUUGCUCCGGUGGUAGGUUUCAGCUCUCCGAUGCAUCGAUGGGAGUAUGAAUGUGUGUGUGAAUGUUAAUUAGAAAGCACUUAGAAAAUGUGCUUGUGUGAAUAGAUUAAUGCACAAAUGGUAAAAUGGUAAAUGACCUGUAUUUGUAUAGCGAUUUUUACUAGUCCCCCCUAGGGACCCAAAAGCGCUUUACACACCCAGUCAUCCACCCAUUCACACACACAUUCACACACUGGUGGAGGCAGCUACAGUUGUAGCCACAGCUGCCCUGGGGCCAAGUUGUGUAAAGCGCUGUAGUGCUCAAAAGCACAAAUAAGAACCAGUCCAUAAUUUUAAAUGUAUAACUUAAAAAAUUGCAAUUUUUCUCAACAAAUUUUGGCCUGUCUGUACAGAGAAACCAGAGAAAUUUAGCAAUAACCCCAUGGUCAGCACUCUGCACAGCGAAGAAGCAGCUAGAUAUGGUGGUUAUAUGUCUCUGGAUAUCUAGAUCCCCUUAUCUAUGUUCAUUACAGUAAGUUUCUGAUCAUACGUCUACAUUCGUAUGUAGAUUUCAACCAUCUUAGCCACUGUGAUGUUUAGUUUACACAAACUGGUCCUAAAAGGUCUUGCCUCUGUCAUAUAGUUUACGUCUUACACAAUCACAUGCUAAUAUCAAUAAUUACAAAUAAAGACCUUUCUUUGCUGCAUCACAUAUAAUUCUGAGAUUGUUGUAAAUAUCCCAAAAGGAACCUUUAAAUCAUUCAAGUGCUGGAGGGAACAAAGCCAAAUGUAGGUCAGACAACAAAUUUGCAUUUAGCCUUUUCCAUAAGUAUGUUGAUGAUUUAAGCUUUAAAGAGUGCAGUGGCUUAUCAUGCAUGGGGGGGCUGCACCCAGAAAUUGGUUGCAUAUUGAAGUGACAGUGUUUGAAAUUGAAAGCUGAAUUUCCAAAUACAUCAGGAAAUCAAGACUUCAAACAGUCUGCCUGUGUGUUUGUGUGCAGCCUCUCACAGCAAGAAUGACGGAGGCUUAACCAAUUAUUCAGUCUUAUGAAGCAGUCUUCACUGAGCUUUAGACUUGAAUGUUUUCCUCCAGGGGAAUGAUGCCUCAAGUAUGUGUCUGCUUAAAUAGACUAUUUUCACAUGCGACACUGGAUCCAUGUAAAACCACUUCAGCUACCUCUUACCAAAGUAUACUACGGUAAUGUUAAUUAGUUGAGAUAAACUACUGUGAUGUCUCAGAAUCAUUCAGAAUGAAUAAUUACAGAUUUUUAUAUAACACUCCAGUUUUAAAGGUGUCAAACCCCAAAACACAUCAGCAACAGGGACAGCAGACUGAGCUUUCCUAUGUAGCAUCCUCAGCAUCUUUGGAUCCUGAUCUCUGUUGUUUAUUCCAACUAUAACUCCACCAAUUUAACAAGUGAAUGAACUGGAGUUUUCUCUAAUAUUUGGUGAAAGUGCCUUUUAUGGCUUUAUGAUAGUUAGCUCAGUGCGUAUUCUCUAUCCAUUGUCCCUCUCUCUUGUCUGUAGGGUUCCUGCCUGGGAGGGGAUGGGUCUGGGGUCAGAUGAGGUCUCUAUCACUCUGUCUUCAGCCAUACUAUGGCUGACAGACCUUCACAUCAUCAUAUUGUCACUUCCCACCACCGGUUUAUGUCUGCAUGAGCUCCUUUCACACUUGAAAUUCAGAUCCAGUCUCACGCAGGUGGAACGGACUUGGACGCAGACCAGCUGAAUUUAGAAUGAAAGUCACAAGUUUAUUUACAAUCGGAGAGGGAUUUCCAAGGAUGGAGGGGAAACGGGUCCAAAUCACACUCCUCUUCGGCACUCGUGUUCUCUCCACACCUCACUGCCAGACUCAGGGGAACAGGGCCCUGUUUCAGGAA